UACCAGCACCCCGAGUGGUCGGGACGAUUAUUGGGCCUAAAGCAUCCGUAGCCGGCCUUACAAGUCCUCCGUUAAAUCCAGCUGCUUAACAGAUGGGCUGCGGAGGAUACUAUAAGACUAGGAGGCAGGAGAGGCAAGCGGUACUCAGUGGGUAGGGGUAAAAUCCGUUGAUCCAUUGAAGACCACCAGUGGCGAAGGCGGCUUGCCAGAAUGCGCUCGACGGUGAGGCACGAAAGCUAGGGGAGCAAACAGG
rnacentral:rRNA from 1 species